rnacentral:rRNA from 1 species
UGCAAGUCGAACGAUUAAAGCUCCCUUCGGGGAGUGCAUAAAGUGGCGCACGGGUGAGUAACACGUAAGUAAUCUACCUUCGAGUGGGGAAUAACAGUCGGAAACGACUGCUAAUACCGCAUAACGCAGCGGCAUCGCAAGAUGACAGUUGUUAAAGGAGCAAUCCGCUUGAAGAGGAGCUUGCGGCAGAUUAGCUAGUUGGUAAGGUAAUGGCUUACCAAGGCUACGAUCUGUAUCCGGUCUAAGAGGACGGUCGGACACACUGACACUGAAUAACGGGUCAGACUCCUACGGGAGGCAGCAGUCGGGAAUUUUGGGCAAUGGGGGAAACCCUGACCCAGCAACGCCGCGUGAAGGAUGAAGUAUUUCGGUAUGUAAACUUCGAAAGAAUGGGAAGAAUAAAUGACGGUACCAUUUAUAAGCUCCGGCUAACUACGUGCCAGCAGCCGCGGUAAUACGUAGGGAGCAAGCGUUGUUCGGAUUUACUGGGCGUAAAGGGCGCGUAGGCGGCGCGGUAAGUCACUUGUGAAAUCUCUGAGCUUAACUCAGAACGGCCAAGUGAUACUGCAGUGCUAGAGUGCAGAAGGGGCAAUCGGAAUUCUUGGUGUAGCGGUGAAAUGCGUAGAUAUCAAGAGGAACACCUGAGGUGAAGACGGGUUGCUAGGCUGACACUGACGCUGAGGCGCGAAAGCCAGGGGAGCAAACGGGAUUAGAUACCCCGGUAGUCCUGGCCCUAAACGAUGAAUACUUUGGUGUCUGGAGUUCUAAUACUCCGGGUGCCGUCGCUAACGUUUUUAGUAUUCCCGCCUGGGGAGUACGCUCGCAAGAGUG